AAACAAACUCAGCAAAGCAGUAUUCCAUGAAUGAUCAUGCCUCAGGAAAGGUCUGUGCUUAAACCUCACUAUUAAACAGAAUUCAAUAAAAGGCCCCCUUGCCUAAGGCCCCCCACCCCUUGCCCUGCAGACGCUUCCCAGCUUGAGGGAAAGUUGGCAGGGCUCCAUUUUGCUAAUCUAUCUCUGGACACAGCUUUUCCUCAGCCUCUGACAUGGGUUAAUUCUGAGUUGUAAUCCAGCCUGUCUUCCGUGGGUCCCUGAGGAAAUUUGAAGACGGAAUGCAACUUGUUUUAUUGAACUGAAAACCAAGUGGCCCAUGUUUGGCUAAGAGCAAAAAAAAAAGAAAGCUCAUGAGAAGAAGCAAAAUGAAACACACGCAGGCUCUUUCACAUGGGCAGGCAGGGUAUGGGAGGACGGUGGGAGGAGGUGGGAAGUGUACAGGAGGCAGCUGAGUUUAUUUUUAACACCAAGUUAAAGGCAUACUCUAUGUUCUUCCCUUUUAAAAAUAGUCUUUUAACCUCUUGAAGCGUUUUGACUAUUCUGCCUGUGGGGUAAUACCCCCUCUGUGGCUGGCAACUCCCACUGGAUCUUUUCCCAUUAGGAGCGUCCUGGCCAAGUACUUAGAAGGAUGGAAAAACCCCAGAAUUUUUCUUCUGAGAACUCCUGAUCAGCAUAUGCAUACAGCUCCUGUGUGCAGAGAGGCUUAUAAACCCUGGCUGCUUCUUUGGACCUUGAGCUUUACAGCAUUUUCCAAAGCUUGAUGGUUUGGAGAAAUGUCCUCUUUUUAAAACAGUCUGGGUUAGUAAAAUGGUGGAGAUAGUCUUUUUGAAGUCCAUUGCAAUAAUUUAUUCAUUGAGCUUAUGAAUGAUACAACACACAUAAAUACACAUUUAUAUCCAUGAAAUUAGAAUAAGUAUGAAUAAUAUAAUAAUAACUGAUCUCUAACACUUAAUGGAGGGCUUACUCUAUGCCAGGCACUGUUUCAUAUAUAUUUAAUGUUUUAAACAAUUCUCUCCAUAAUAUCAUCCCAUUUUACAGUUGAAACAACUUGGGCUCAGGGCCAUUAAGUAACUUGUGAAGAUUGUAAAGUCAGUGAGUGAUUUAAAGGGAAGGAAUUCAAACUCAGGCCAUCAGGCAGUUCAAGUCCAUUGCUAGCCCAUUUAUUGAGUCCAUGAUUGAAAAAGGAGCACAUACCUUAAGACCCUUUUGAUUCCAUCUGUUGGGAAGUUAUCAAAUGUACUGAUUUGAUUAGAACAUUUUAUUGCAUUUGCAAGAUAGUUGUCAUAAGAAAAAGCUAAAUCCACAAUGCUGACAAUGUGAAGGGGACCCCCUCCGAUGUGAUCGUUUUGUGCAGUGCAUAACCUGCACAAAGAUACACGGGUGGCCCUAUGUACACACACACAGCACACACAUGGGUACUUUUGCAGACAUGGCAGUUUUAUGAAGGAAAAAACCAGACUGCUGUAGUUUAAAAGGAGAGGGGAACCUAGUUUUCAGAGGUAAACAGACUGAUCUGAUGUUGGCAACAGCUCUUUCUACAUGCCUCAGUUUUAUAUCAAAUCUUAUAUGAAUCUCUGGAAAUUGUUGUAUUUGUACACAGUACAAAAGUGCCCUACUUUCACUUGUCUUUUCUCCUCCUCUGGGGAAAUAAACAUUUAAUUCACAUUGGAACAGUGUGGCCUACGUAUAUACAUUCAUAUAUAUGUGUUAAGGUGGAGGCGGGGAGGAAAAAUAAAUAGAACAGUUCACAAACCUAGAAGAGUAAAAUUUUAUUGUGGAAGAUUUCAAAAAUAUACUGAAGUAGAUCAAAAAGCAUAAUGAACCCCACUUACGCGCGUGAACCUACCAGCCAGCUGUAGCAAUUAUCAACUAAUUAUCAGCUAAUGACUAGUCUUGCUUCAUCUAUAUUUCUUCUCCGCUCUUACUGAAGCAAAUUUUAAAUAUCAUUUUAUCCAAAAACAUUUAGUACAUUUCACUGCAAGGUGUAAACUGAUUUUGAAAAACAGCUGUAAUUUUAUCAUUAAAUCUCAACAGAAAUAGUAAUGUCCCUGAUGUCAUCAUAUAUCUAAUCAGUGUUCAAAAUUUCAACUGUCUUCCAAACGUCCUAGAUUUUCUUUUGUUUGUUGUUUUCACCUUGUGUUUGUUUUAAAUGAGAAUCAACUAAGUUCAAACACCACAUUGGUAGUAAAGUCUCUGUCUCUUUAAAUCGGCAAGUUCUCCCUUCAUCUUUCUUUUCCACAGUCUGGAUUUCGCUGACAUGCUGAGAUGGCAUCUUCAUAAUGUAGUUUAACAUGUUUCUCUGCAGCAGAAUCAUUUCUAGGAGGAGUCCAGGCAUCUGAAUAUUCUUUUAUGGUAGUUAGGUGAAUAUGAACCACAGCUAGGCUUGGAAAGACUAGGAAAAUCUUAGUGUCUUCUCCCAGAUUUCUUAAUGUGUUGGUUGAAGAAAUGAAACUUUUUUUUUUUGUCUUUUUUUUUAGGGCCACACCUGUGGCAUAUGGAAGUUCCCAGGCUAAGGGUCAUGGCUAUAGCUGCUGGGUUAUACCAUAGCCGCAGCAAUACAGGAUCCUUAACCCACAGAGCAAGGUCAGGGAUUGAACCCGCAUCCUUGUGGAUCCUAGUCGGUUUGUUACUGCUGAGCCACAACAUGAACUCCACGAAACUCUUUCUUGAUUAUUAUAAUGAAAACAAUAUGUCCACCACCUGUUUUUUUGUAUUUUUGGUUGGUUGUUUUGGUUUUUGUUGUUGUUGUUGUUGUUUUUAGGGCCGCACAUGGAAGUUCCCAGGCUAGGGGUCAAAUCGUAGCUGCAGCUGCCUGCCCACACCACAGCCAUGGCAACACGGGAUGCAAGCCAAGUCUGCAAACUACACCACAGCUCAUGGCAACGCUGGCUCCCUAGCGCACUGAACAAGGCCAGGGAUCAACCCCACAUCCUCACGGAUCCUAGCUGGGUUUGUUACCACUGAGCCACAAUGGGAACUCCUACCUAUCAACCACCUGUUGAUAGGUAAAGAACCCUUUUUGCUUGUUGAGGGCACAUAGAAUCCCUAGGGUAAAAUUUCCUGUUCUCCAGGAGAACUAUUUCUCAGCCAGGCUUGAGAGGGGGCAAUAGGCCUGCACUGAUGGCACAAGAAAAAAGAGAAUCUCCCAAGGGGUGAUUUGCUUUCAGCUGGGACCAUGUGAGAACCAGUAACCAGCUGGAAAAUUGCCAAUUAACCAGCAAAGCCUCUAUUUUAAGUCAAAGGCCAUUAGGUUCUCUGGGCUCAGCUUUACAGCCUACUUCUCUGCAGAAUCUAUUGCACCAAUAUCCUUGCUAGGCAGAGGCAGGCUUCAUCCUUGCUGUGGAAGAAACAGUGAUGCUAUCUGUCCUGGGCUGCUCUGCCUCUUGGUCAGCAGCCUGACCUUUCUUGUGUCUCUUGAAGAUUCAAGAUAAUUAAAAAAUAAUAAGCGCAUUGCAGUUUCUUGGAAAGGUUGGGGUUUUGAACGUUUCCCUUCCCCAUUUCCACCUUGCUCGUCAGCACUUGCCCCAUUCCCUGAUGUUGCCCUUGCCCGGAGAGGUGUUUGCACAGUGCUUAUUAUCAGAGAGCCUGGGGUCAAGGUUUGCUCUGCAACCUCACUGUCUAUCUGGGUGACCUUGGAUAGGCCACUUGAUUCUCUGAGCACUGAUAGCUUUACCUGUAAAUAAAGAUUGUAUCAAAUGCUCUGCUUAUCUCAUGAAGAUGUUGUGAAGACCAAAUCAAGAGGCAAUGUAAAUGGGUAUGUGUCUAUGUAUGACUGAUCACUUUGUUGUACAGCAGAAAUUAUCACGACCUUGUAAAUUAAUGAUACUUCAAUAAAACUUACAAGAGUUAAUGUAGGUGAAAGGCCUUCAUUGAGCUGUAAAGCACUGCCCAGUGCCCUUGCUGCUUGCUGCCUCAACUACAUCUGUUCAAUCCUGGCUGACCGUGUAGAAGAAGUCACAUGAAUUUUAGAGGCUAAUAAGGUCCCAUUGCUUUUUGGCUGUACCAUUUUGGGAAAUUUGGGCUCUGAGCCUUGGUUUCCUCAUACAUAAAAUGGAGAUUAUUUUUCUGGCUUUUUUUUUUUUUUUUUUUUUAAAUGGCCGAACUGGUGGUGUAUGCAAGUUCCCAGGCCAGCGAUUGAAUCCGAGCCACAGCUGUGAUUUAUGCCGCAGCUUCAGCAAUGCAGGAUCCUUAACCCACUGAGCUGGGCCAGGGAUCAAACCGCAUUAACCUGAGCAGCUGCAGUUGGAUUCUUAACCCACUGCACCACAGUGGAAACUCCUAUCUGGCAUUCGUUUACUUACAUCUUUAUUACUUUACACCACAUCCUGACCUACCAUCGUUAUGCGGACUAACGCUGAAGCACCUCACUUAGAUUUGGCAACCAGUAAGGUCUCAGGACAUGGUAAUUCUUUUUCCUGUUCUGUUCUUGGCGAUUGGACAGAUGCCUUCCUAUAUAAAGAAAGAUCUCUUCCUCUAGAUUGCUGAGGACAGAACUGUCUUCUUGCUCCUCCAUCCUUGCCUAUGAGGAUAUUUGCUUAUAGGCCAGAUAAUGCUUUGAAUUCUCUUCGUAAGUCUGUGGACUAGGAAAUCAUAUAAUGAAGCAGUGCUCUUAUAUUACUUGGGAAUAAAGAUUCUUCAACAGCUUGUACAAAAGAUUUGGCUGACCGCAAAAUUAGCAUGAGUCAGCAGAGUAAGGGAGUGAGCAGAAAUCAAUGAAUUUGGGGAAACACUUAUGUAAGGUCUAAUCCAUUCCUCCUCCUGGGCUCAUCCUACUUGUGUAGGUCACACUGUAUCUGGAGUAAAGGACUCAGUUUAAGAUGCUAGGCCCCAGAUGAGGAGAGCUGACAAAGAUCUUGGGGUUCCAUGUGCUUGAGUAACUGUUAGAAAAACCGAGGAAGCGUUCCUGCUGUGGCACAGUCAGGUAAAAAUCUGGCUGCAGUGGCUUGGUUACUGUGGAGGUGUGGGUUUGAUACCUGGCCUGGUGCAGUGGGUUAAAGGGUCUGGCAUUGCGACAGCUGUGGCAUAGGUCAUAGCUGUGGCUUGGAUUCAAUCCCUGGUCCAGGAACUUCCAUAUGC
rnacentral:lncRNA from 1 species